GUUCAAGAUUCCCCGAGGCUGUGUAAGGUCACACCCUACAGACGCCUGGUGCGAUUCUGAUAGGUACCAGGGAACCCUUAUCACACACACCCUGCAAGAGCUUCGGGGCAGGAAACAGGGGCGCCUGUACCCCAUAUUUGCUCUCUUUUUAGCUAGGCUACAUUCUUCUAAAGGCAGCUAGCUGCUUCAUUUUACAGAAUGAGUUUUAAAAAUACUUUUCUUUGCACCAGCUUCUUCUUCUUCUUCUUUUUUUUAAAGGAACAGAGAAAAGAAUAAUUUUUCUAUCACCGGUUGGUUCCAGCACAAAACAGGAAGACAGCAUCAAUGAAGGACAAAGGACCGGCAGACCCCGCGGGUCUGAGCUUGUAUGUAUUGCAGAUGCCAUGUUCCUUCCUGACAAGGAAGCCUGGAACCAAUAAUCAGACUGAGAAAACUGAACUACUCUGAAUGUACCGUCCUCGCCCCCUCAACACUCACUCCACCAGUAAAUGUGCACGCAGGAAUCCAAGCUGUGUUCUCAAGUUUCUGUCCUCAACUGUCUAACGUCUACACACUGGAACCGAAACGCCGAUGUCAUUAUCUCCCGUGUGGUGGACUACGGUUCUCUUUGUUCCUUUCUGUAGUGUCUACAUUUUAUCAUGCAUUGCUUUUGUAAUCAGAGAAAAUGGCUAAAAAAAAAAAAAGACUGCUUCAAAACCCUGCUCCUACAACCCACGCCAGUCCACACGGAUCACUGUCUUCUAGGGCUUUGAGGAGAAAUGCUGUAACUGGACUAGAUUCGAAACAUACUAAGAGUCGCUGGCUCAGAUGCCUCCAUCACUCCCCCAAAUGUCACUGGAGGCCGGAUGAGGUGAGGAAGGCUGAAAGGACGAGGGCAUCGCCCACCAAUAACAACCCCCAUAGAAGAGGCCAAUAGGAACAAAGGCAACAUGUCCCAUGAAACUCUUCACUGAAAACCAAAAGACAAAAGGCAACCGUGCACGAGCAACUGGAAAUCAAAAUUUAAAAAAACUUAUUUUUUAAUAACUGAUUUGAUUCACAAAAUAUAAAGUAGCAUGUGCAUUGUACUUUAAGAAACAACUGGAAUGCUAAAAUAUGACCGUACCAAUUUCAACAGUCUCAAUACUGUCUAGAUUUAGCAAAGUCCUGAAUACAAAUACUAAUUUCUUAAAGAGAACAAAGGCAGACGAAAACACAAACGUAAUAACAAGAACAAGACUGCCGAGGCCCCUCGUUUUUUCCCAGCAAGCCCUGUGAUACCGACCUACUGUGUUCUGAGACCCACUGAGCGCUGACAGUGUUCCUUUCUUGUUAACUAUAGCUCAAUUCUCCUCUUUUUGAAAUAAGAGGACGGCUGACAGGUUCUAUGGUCUCUCUCCCUAGGGAUGUCGGUAGGCGAAGUGCUGUGGCGGACCGUGCUGGGCCCUUCUGGUCCUCUUUCGGUAAUGAAGAACCGACCCCCGCAUUCGCUAGUGGCUCUGGUCACCUUCAGGGCCGCCAGUAAGAAAGUACUACCUUGCACAAGCCACAGUCCCUCUGCUAGCUGCCUGCCUUAACAGGUGAGGACAGUAGGCUGCAGAAGCUAAGUCUACUCUCCUUCCCUGGAGAACUGGGCAGGUGAUGUCAGCAUCCCAGGUCCCACUUCAACCUCUCCCCUUAGGGAUUCCCUUUUCCUCCUUCUCUUCCAGACCAGAACGUAGCAUCCCUUGCUAGAUGUGCACUUCCUAGCAUGAAUUCCACAGGACGGAAAGAAAAGCACAGAUCCUGGGUGUUUCUUACUUUUUGGUGUUGCUGUUACCAAAUACUUAAAAAGAAGCAAGGUAAGGGGGAGAGAAGGUUUAUUUGGGCUUAUAACUUUUAAAAAAAGAAAGCCCACGGUGGGGGAAGGAAUAGAGGAGUGUGAGGUGGCUGGUCACAGCGUCUCCAGCAAAGCAGGGAGAGAUGAGUGUUUGUGGUCAGCUCAUUCCCUCCCCCUCCCCAAUUUAUUCAGCCCGGAAACCCCAAGCCCAUCUUACCUCGCUGUUUACUUUCAGGGUGGGUCUUCCUCAAUUGAAACUCUCUGAAAAUACCCUCAGAGACAUGCCCUGAGGUGUGUCUCCUAGGUGAUUCUAAAUCCAGUCACAUUGACAGCAAAGACUGGCAAUCACACCUUAGGUGGGCAUUUGGUCCUCUGCCAUGUUGACUCUACUGGGCAAGGUUCUCAAAAGCCCCAGCAGGGAAUUCCACAGGAAGAAGGGUUGUGCCUUCUCCCUCACACAGAUCAAGGAAGUGAGUCUAAGAAUAAAGAGGGCCCUUCUGGAAUCCCAGCAGGGGACUUGUCUGAAUUUGGGUAAGGCUCAGGGAACCUGCAAGAGGCAGGGUGGCAGCUGCUUGGCCCAGUUUAGUCUAAUCCCCUGAGCUGUCCAGUCCCUGGUACCAUGAUUGUACGGUGUUAAUUAAAUCAUUCUCAUUAAUUCAGCCCGAGUGUAAAUUAGGAAUGAAUGAAGACAGAUUAGGUUUGAAGGCAGCUAAUACAUUUAACCCCUUGCUGCUGAUUUUGCAGCCCUAACAAAAUAAGGUUGUUAAGGAAGAUAACAAGGCCAAAAGCCUUGGGCACAGCUUCCUAACAGCAUUAAAAAACAAAACAAAAACAAAAACCCGGAGACCUUGGCUUAGUGUCCCAAGGCCAGGCAAAGACAUUUUCCCAGGGGCCUGCAGGACCAGCCUGACAUCCUGAACCAAGCACUGGCUGUUGUACAAAGCAGCCUGGUAACAUUUCCUGAGGUGUGACGUCUCAUCUAUUGGCUGGGUCUGUUGUGGUUUAGAGCAGUCACAAUCCUGAGGAGCGUUUUCUUCCUGUCUGUGUAGAGGGAUCACCUUUGUUUCCUGUAAGCAGGGUGAUAAGAAUGACUUUUCCCAUUGGCCGAGAGAUGUCAUAAAAAAUGACAUAGUUUGAGUUUCUAUGAUCAUAAAUCCACUAACUUGCAAAUCACCCACAGCCUUGAUAAAGGCAUUAGAAGCUGCCCAGCAGCCUGAAGAAUUUUCCACACACUGGCUCAAGCAGACCGUUGUUAGUCUGUGGGGAUCCAGUUUCUGUGGGUCCUGUUUCUUUCAGUGGUUUCCAGUUUGGAUAACCUCCCUAAACAAAUUCCGUCACCCCGCCUUGCUUAUCUUUCAGUAGCAGAUGAAGGGAUGUAUAUAUGGUCAGUUCAGGAUUUUCCAGGCUGCGAUUUUGUUUUCUUGAUUUGAAACAUUGGAAGUGGCAACAUUAGGCAGAAAAGAUACAUCAGUGGAUAGUGGUGGGACUAACUCUUUCAGCCCUGCUUCUCUGCAAAGAGAAGGGAGCCCUACUGUUUCCUUGGUUGUGGAGACUGCUGUUUCCAGGUGGUAGAUGCAAUAGAAAUGAUUAUCUGUCCUUUGCCAGGGGGCUUCUCCUGGCAAGGUCUCCAGCCAACCAGCUGAGGUAUGCACACCUCCUAAGCAGCAACAUCGAGGUGGCUCUGGGAGAAAGCUGGGCAUAUUUUGUCAAAAGAGAAAACGUGUUUACUUCUUAAUAGACCAUUGCCUCACUAGAAGGCAUUAACUGUUGGUCCCCUAAACCAACAGAUUUGUGUUUGACUCAAACCCAGAUAGAUGAAAACAGAAAGAAAGGGGCCAGGAGUUGGCCCUGGUGCCUCUCAAACCGGGCCACACGAUACAGAACCGUGUUUUUAAAGACCCGCAACAGCGACCCGCUUCCACCUCCCUCUUUCAGGGCCUGCUCUGCUGUGUGCAGAGUUUCCACUUACUGGGCGCCGUUUUUCUUCUUCUCUCCUCGGGCACUAAGUUCUGCUCGCCUAGCUGGCUCGCUGCUGCCCUCAGGCCUCUGCACCUGCUUCUUACCUCGAAUCCCUCGAGCUUUUCUGA